rnacentral:rRNA from 1 species
CCCUUAGAUGUCCUGGGCCGCACGCGCGUUACACUGAUGCAUUCAACGAGCUUAUAACCUUGGCCGAGAGGCCUGGGCAAUCUUGUUAACGUGCAUCGUGAUAGGGAUAGAUUAUUGAAAUUAUUAAUCUUGAACGAGGAAUUCCUAGUAAACGCAGAUCAUCAAUCUGCAUUGAUUACGUCCCUGCCCUUUGUACACACCGCCCGUCGCACCUACCGAUUGGAUGGUCAGGUGAAGCCUCGGGAUUGUGGUUCUUGCCGCUUUAUUGUGGCGUGACCGCGAGAACUUGUCUAAACCUUAUCAUCUAGAGGAAGGUGAAGUCGUAACA